UAUUUAUUUAUUUGUUUGUUUGUUUACUACAUUUAUAUCCUGCAUUUCUCACCCCGAAGGGGACUCAGAGCGGCUUACAAAUCAAAUGUACAUGCAAUAUAUUAUUAGCAUAGCACAAUAUAAGCAUUAAAUUACUAUAUUGUACUAUAUCAUUAUAUGGUAAUAUUAUUAGUAAUAUUACAUUUAAUAUAUAAUAUAUCAUUAAUAUUAUUAUAUUGUAUUAUUAGUAUAAUAUUGUAUCACAUUAUAAUAUUAUUAUCAAUAUUAUAUGUAUAUACAAUAUUUUAUAUAUCGAUAAAUUAUUAUAAAUUAUAGUUCAGUAUUUGUGUUAUUGUUCUCAAUUUGUUGGAUUUAAGUCUACAAUUUAAUAAAAGCAGGUUAAAAUGAAAACCCAUUAACGAAAAAGUAGGCCUCAGUUAAGCGAUUCGAAGACUAGGCCUCGGGAAGGCCUCUCAACAUGGCGGGUUUCGCCUUGUGCCAGUCACAAAAAUGGCGGCCCUUGCUUCCUCCUCUAGGGUUUCCUUCCCAAGAUCGGGAGAGUGGUGCCGGUCCAGUAUCUCUUACUAGGACUAGGGACGGCGGAUACGUUUUUCCUCCCCGACAUCAAAGAAGAGCGACUGCCGGGUCUGAACCGCUUUUCACCCCUUCUCCCCGUUUAUUGCCAGGAAGCAACAUGGCGGCGCUGGCGUCAACUCUUCAGGACGCGCUUUCAAGCCGUAGUUUCCGAUUCCGGCCUGUCGGAGCGGGGGCUCCGGAUUGAAAAAUGGCUGAGGCGAGCGGCUUUUGGUGUGAGGAAGCCGGUGGAGGGAGUGAGGCAUUGCUGGUGAUGAAGUUGUUGAGAUUGUUGUGAUCCCCUUCGGAGAGAUGGAUCAGGAAAGCGGGCCAGAAAUGGCCGAGGUUUUGCCGGGAAAUGAAAAGAUGGGGUCAGAUCUCUGUGAGCAAGAAGCAGAAGUCCAUCGGGACAGAAAGGCAUCUUCAUCAAUAGAACCUCUUGGGGAUAACAAGGAGGAAACGCCAGGCUGCGAAGCUGGCAGCGUUUUGAUGGAGAUAGAAGGAGAGGUGGGAGACCAUUCUCCGGAUGGGAAAGGCCCAAAGUCUGUGCAGAGUGUGGAACCGUUCCAAGAGGUCAAGGAGGAGGCUGAGGAGAUGGGACUCAUCAUCCCACUGGAAGAGCGAGAAGAAGGAGGGAAGAGGAAGAAGCGGAAAGCCACGAAGCGGAAACGGGAAGGAAAAAUCCCUGAGGAAAAUGAAGGAGGGCCCUUGGAUUGCGAUCUCAAGCUGGACGACACCCUGGACAAGACUUUGGAAGAUGGGGCCAAGCAACACAACUUGACUGCUGUCAAUGUGCGAAACAUCUUGCAUGUAAGCCAAGGGGCUGGAGAAAGGGAAUGCCGCUGGAACAGUGCAAAGAGUGAUCUUGUAAAGCUGAAUAAAAGGUGCCUGAAAGCCUUAUUUCUGUGUUUGGGCCUGCAGGAAGUGAUCACAAACGAGCACGUGGUGGCCAUGAUGAAGGCUGCCAUCAGCGAGACGGAAGACAUUCCCAUGUUUGUAAGUCUCUCCCUCUGUUUACUUGUUCUUUUUGGGAUGGACCCUAAGGCAGCUGUAGGGAAACUGUAAACUGAUUUGCCCUUGGAGAAGAAAAAGAACCCGCGGAUCCAUUUUCCAGCCAUAUGUAAUGGAACGACGGAUUAUUUCUCCCCUUUUUUUCUCUUUCUUAGGAACCCAAAAUGACUCGCUCCAAACUGAAGGAAGUGGUGGAAAAAGGCGUGGUGAGUUCGUGUAUAUAUAUUUCCCCUUGGCCUUGUCAGUUUGGGAGAAUGUUCAUUUUAGAUUGAACUGUUUUUAUAAUAUAACUAGCUGUGCC
rnacentral:lncRNA from 11 species